rnacentral:tRNA from 1 species
GGGCCUGUAGGUUAGUCUGGCCUAUACUUCGCGGCUGGGGGNCGCGCGACCCAGGNUCAAAUCCUGGCAGGCCCACCA